CUAAGGGGGUUGAUGAAAUGAAAUAAAAUUUCAUCAGGUGAGAAAUAGUAUUGUGUAGGGUAAUGGGACUGAAGGAUGAUAUAUCCCCUGGGCCCGAUGGACUGCAUCACAGGGAAGUGGCUCUAGAAAUAGUGGA